rnacentral:rRNA from 1 species
AUUGAACGCUGGCGGCAGGCCUAACACAUGCAAGUCGAGCGAGCGGCGGACGGGGGAGUAAUGGAUGGGGAAUGCCCGAUAGAGGGGGAUCACUACUGGAAACGGUGGCUAAUACCGCAUACAGUCUGAUAACCGAUAUGGGGUUAGAUAGUAGGUCAGGGAAUGGCUUACCUGGGCGACGAUCCCUAGCUGGCCUGCGAGGAUGAUCAGCCACACUGGGACUGAGACACGGCCCAGACUCCUACGGAGGCAGCAGUGGGGAAUAUUGCACAAUGGGCGCAAGCCUGAUGCAGCCAUGCCGCGUGUAUGAAGAAGGCCUUAGGGUUGUAAAGCACUUUCAGUCGGGAGGCGUUACCGACAGAAGAAGCACCGGCUAACUCCGUGCCAGCAGCCGCGGUAAUUC